UGAACACAUAGUAAAUGCUGAAUUACUAUUUCCUAAAUUAUCAUAAAGCUGAGAAGAAUCAUGAUUCUCAAACUUCACCUUGGAAUUAAAAUGGAUUUCCUUGAGAAGCACAUAUGAGGUAAGCAGACCUCUCCUGUGAUGUUCUGGAUAUGCCUGUCUCAACAGAUUUCAGGGUGGCCGUCUUCUCUGCAAAUUCAGUUCUCUGAUGUGUCCAAGCUGAAGAAGCAAUUCAUCACUCCAUCAACUGGUUUUACUGAAUCGAAGCACAGAGAAUGUCCACAGUCACAGUGACUGUAGUGAUUUUCUAAAGCUGCAAUCUCAGUACAGUUUUACUUUGUUGUGUACAACCUUCAUUAUACUCAUUACUCCAUUCUGGAGAAUAUUUUAUAAUCACCACUUAAAGUUUUCAUUGGCAGGAUGUGUCUCUGUUCCUACUGCUCUUUUUUUUUUUAUCCAGUAAGAGGGAAAUGAUUAUCUCAUUUCUUGGGGGACAUAAUUGGUCUAUACCAAUAAUUUCACUUAAUGGUUUCACUACCUGGUAGAUUGUUG
rnacentral:lncRNA from 1 species